rnacentral:tRNA from 1 species
GGAGAGAUGGCAGAGCGGACGAUUGCGACGGUCUUGAAAACCGUUGAGGUGCAAGCCUCCGGGGGUUCGAAUCCCCCUCUCUCCGCCA